GAUGAAGAACGUAGCGAAAUGCGAUAAGUAAUGUGAAUUGCAGAAUUCAGUGAAUCAUCGAAUCUUUGAACGCACAUUGCGCCCGCCAGUAUUCUGGCGGGCAUGCCUGUCUGAGCGUCAUUUCAACCCUCAUGCCCCUAGGGCGUGGUGUUGGGGAUCGGCCAAAGCCCGCGAGGGACGGCCGGCCCCUAAAUCUAGUGGCGGACCCGUCGUGGCCUCCUCUGCGAAGUAGUGAUAUUCCGCAUCGGAGAGCGAUGAGCCCCUGCCGUUAACCCCCCAACUUUCCAAGGUUGACCUCAGAUCAGGUAGGAAUACCCGCUGAACUUAAGCAUAUCAAUAAGCGGAGGA
rnacentral:misc_RNA from 1 species